GACGAACGCUGGCGGCGUGCUUAACACAUGCAAGUCGAACGGAAAGGCCCUGCCUUUGUGGGGUGCUCGAGUGGCGAACGGGUGAGUAACACGUGAGUAACCUGCCCUUGACUUUGGGAUAACUUCAGGAAACUGGGGCUAAUACCGGAUAGGAGCUCCUGCUGCAUGGUGGGGGUUGGAAAGUUUCGGCGGUUGGGGAUGGACUCGCGGCUUAUCAGCUUGUUGGUGGGGUAGUGGCUUACCAAGGCUUUGACGGGUAGCCGGCCUGAGAGGGUGACCGGCCACAUUGGGACUGAGAUACGGCCCAGACUCCUACGGGAGGCAGCAGUGGGGAAUAUUGCACAAUGGGCGGAAGCCUGAUGCAGCAACGCCGCGUGCGGGAUGACGGCCUUCGGGUUGCAAACCGCUUUCGCCUGUGACGAAGCGUGAGUGACGGUAAUGGGUAAAGAAGCACCGGCUAACUACGUG
rnacentral:rRNA from 1 species